UACGAAGGGGGCUAGCGUUGUUCGGAAUUACUGGGCGUAAAGCGCACGUAGGCGGGUUGUUAAGUCAGGGGUGAAAUCCUGGAGCUCAACUCCAGAACUGCCUUUGAUACUGGCAACCUAGAGGCUGGAAGAGGUUAGUGGAAUUCCCAGUGUAGAGGUGAAAUUCGUAGAUAUUCGGAAGAACACCAGUGGCGAAGGCGGCUCACUGGCCCGUUACCGACGCUCAGGCGCGACAGCGUGGGGAGCAAACAGG
rnacentral:rRNA from 1 species